rnacentral:lncRNA from 1 species
UCUAAGAUUCGAGAGUUUGCCGACCUAACUCGGGUUGAAACUUUUGGCUUUCGGGGGAAAGCUCUGAGCUCACUUUGUGCACUGAGUGAUGUCACCAUUUCUACCUGCCACGUAUCGGCGAAGGUUGGGACUCGACUGGUGUUUGAUCACGAUGGGAAAAUCAUCCAGAAAACCCCCUACCCCCACCCCAGAGGGACCACAGUCAGCGUGAAGCAGUUAUUUUCUACGCUACCUGUGCGCCAUAAGGAAUUUCAAAGGAAUAUUAAGAAGAAACGUGCCUGCUUCCCCUUCGCCUUCUGCCGUGAUUGUCAGUUUCUUGAGGGCUCCCCAGCCAUGCUUCCUGUACAGCCUGCAAAACUUACAGAACCUGCUAAGGCCAUCAAACCUAUUGAUCGGAAGUCAGUCCAUCAGAUUUGCUCUGGGCCGGUGGUACUGAGUCUAAGCACUGCGGUGAAGAAGAUAGUAGGAAACAGUCUGGAUGCUGGUGCCACUAAUAUUGAUCUAAAGCUUAAGGACUAUGGAAUGGAUCUCAUUGAAGUUUCAGGCAAUGGAUGUGGGGUAGAAGAAGAAAACUUCGAAGGCUUAAUCUCUUUCAGCUCUGAAACAUCACACAUCUAAGAUUCGAGAGUUUGCCGACCUAACUCGGGUUGAAACUUUUGGCUUUCGGGGGAAAGCUCUGAGCUCACUUUGUGCACUGAGUGAUGUCACCAUUUCUACCUGCCACGUAUCGGCGAAGGUUGGGACUCGACUGGUGUUUGAUCACGAUGGGAAAAUCAUCCAGAAAACCCCCUACCCCCACCCCAGAGGGACCACAGUCAGCGUGAAGCAGUUAUUUUCUACGCUACCUGUGCGCCAUAA